GAUGAACGCUGGCGGCGUGCCUAAUACAUGCAAGUCGAGCGAACAGACGAGGAUCUUGCUCCUCUGACGUUAGCGGCGGACGGGUGAUUAACACGUGUAUAACCUCCCUAUAUGACUUGUAUAACUUCGUGAAACCUGAUCUAAUACCGGUUAAUAUAUUGAACCUCAUGUUUCAUUAGUUAAAUACGUUUUUGCUGUCUCUUAUAUAUGUUUCCUCGCCGCAUUAGCUAGUUGGUAAGGUAACGGCUUACCAAGGCAACGAUGCGUAGCCGACAUGAGAGGGGGAUAGGACACACGGGAAGGGAGACACGGUACAGACACCUACGGGAGGAAGCAGUAGGGAAUAUUACGAAAUGGGCGAAAGCAUGACGGAGCAAAGCCGCGUGAGUGAUGAAGGAAUUAGGAUCGUAAAACUCUGUUAUUAGGGAAGAAAAAAUGUGAAAGUAAAUAUGAACGUAUUGACGGUAACUAAUAAGAAAGCAACGGUUAACUACGUG
rnacentral:rRNA from 1 species